rnacentral:rRNA from 1 species
UAGAGUUUGAUCCUGGCUCAGGAUGAACGCUAGCGGCAGGCUUAACACAUGCAAGUCGCGGGGCAGCGGGGGAGAAGCUUGCUUCUCCCGCCGGCGACCGGCGCACGGGUGAGUAACACGUAUGCAACCUGCCCUUGUCAGGGGGACAACCCAGCGAAAGUUGGGCUAAUCCCGCGUAUAUCCCAAGGGGGCAUCCCCUUGGGAGGAAAGCUUAGGCGGACAAGGAUGGGCAUGCGGCGCAUUAGGCAGUAGGCGGGGUAACGGCCCACCUAACCGACGAUGCGUAGGGGUUCUGAGAGGAAGGCCCCCCACACUGGUACUGAGACACGGACCAGACUCCUACGGGAGGCAGCAGUGAGGAAGAUUGGUCAAUGGCCGAGAGGCUGAACCAGCCAAGCCGCGUGAGGGAAGAAGGCCCUACGGGUCGUAAACCUCUUUUGUCAGGGAACAAAAACCGGUACGAGUACCGGGUUGAGUGUACCUGAAGAAAAAGCAUCGGCUAACUCCGUGCCAGCAGCCGCGGUAAUACGGAAGGUCCGGGCGUUAUCCGGAUUUAUUGGGUUUAAAGGGAGCGUAGGCCGGCGCUUAAGCGUGCCGUGAAAUGUCCCGGCUCAACCGGGGCACUGCGGCGCGAACUGGGUGCCUUGAGUGCGCGGAACGUAUGCGGAAUUCGUGGUGUAGCGGUGAAAUGCUUAGAUAUCACGAAGAACUCCGAUUGCGAAGGCAGCAUACGGCAGCGUAACUGACGCUGAAGCUCGAAGGUGCGGGUAUCGAACAGGAUUAGAUACCCUGGUAGUCCGCACGGUAAACGAUGGAUGCCCGCUGUUGGCGAUAUAUUGUCAGCGGCCAAGCGAAAGCGUUAAGCAUCCCACCUGGGGAGUACGCCGGCAACGGUGAAACUCAAAGGAAUUGACGGGGGCCCGCACAAGCGGAGGAACAUGUGGUUUAAUUCGAUGAUACGCGAGGAACCUUACCCGGGCUUGAACUGCAGGUGAACGAUUCAGAGAUGAUGAGGUCCUUCGGGACACCUGUGGAGGUGCUGCAUGGUUGUCGUCAGCUCGUGCCGUGAGGUGUCGGCUUAAGUGCCAUAACGAGCGCAACCCCUGUUCUCAGUUGCCAUCGGGUCAUGCCGGGCACUCUGUGAAGACUGCCUCCGUAAGGAGUGAGGAGGGUGGGGAUGACGUCAAAUCAGCACGGCCCUUACGUCCGGGGCGACACACGUGUUACAAUGGCAGGUACAGAGAGAAGCAAUGCGGCGACGCAAAGCGGAACUUGAAAGCCUGUCUCAGUUCGGAUUGGAGUCUGCAACUCGACUCCAUGAAGCUGGAUUCGCUAGUAAUCGCGCAUCAGCCAUGGCGCGGUGAAUACGUUCCCGGGCCUUGCACACACCGCCCGUCAAG